UGUUUACCAAAAAUAUAAGCCUCCACAAAAUCAUGAGAUGAUAUGGGGGCUCGAAGCCUGCUCAGUGCCGGAAAAUUAAGGAAGUUGGUAACCUGAUGACAAUGGAGCCGACAACUGUAGACCAAGUGAACAACAAUAGUAACUAUAACGGUCUUAAAGUAGAAAAUUUCUUGUCUGUUAAGUUACAACUGAAUGCAGA
rfam:Nicotiana attenuata strain TT chromosome 5, whole genome shotgun sequence.